rnacentral:rRNA from 1 species
CCUACGGGUGGCUGCAGUGGGGAAUAUUGCACAAUGGGCGCAAGCCUGAUGCAGCCAUGCCGCGUGUGUGAAGAAGGCCUUCGGGUUGUAAAGCACUUUCAGCGGGGAGGAAGGCGUUAAGGUUAAUAACCUUGGCGAUUGACGUUACCCGCAGAAGAAGCACCGGCUAACUCCGUGCCAGCAGCCGCGGUAAUACGGAGGGUGCAAGCGUUAAUCGGAAUUACUGGGCGUAAAGCGCACGCAGGCGGUCUGUCAAGUCGGAUGUGAAAUCCCCGGGCUCAACCUGGGAACUGCAUUCGAAACUGGCAGGCUAGAGUCUUGUAGAGGGGGGUAGAAUUCCAGGUGUAGCGGUGAAAUGCGUAGAGAUCUGGAGGAAUACCGGUGGCGAAGGCGGCUCUCUGGCCUGUAACUGACGCUGAGGCGCGAAAGCGUGGGGAGCGAACAGGAUUAGAUACCCUAGUAGUC